UGCCAGCAUCCGCUGUACUACUAAUUGGGCGAUCGUUGUUCGGAAUUACUGGGCGUAAAGCGUACGUAGGCGGUUUUGCAAGUUAGGCGUGAAAGCCCAGGGCUCAACCUUGGAACUGCGUUUAAAACUGCAAAACUAGAAUCUCGGAGAGGAUAGCGGAAUUUCCAGUGUAGAGGCGAAAUUCGUAGAUAUUGGAAGGAACACCAGUUGCGUAGGCGGCUAUCUGGACGAGUAUUGACGCUGAGGCACGAAAGCGUGGGGAGCGAACAGGAUUAGAUA
rnacentral:rRNA from 1 species